CGUCGGAGAGAGAUAACAGGCUUUGGCUUUUUAUGUAUUUUAUUAGUCAGUCUUUUUCUCUCUCCUAUU
rfam:Acyrthosiphon pisum strain LSR1 Contig34507, whole genome shotgun sequence.